AACGCGNGNGUANCCUGCCUCAUACAACGGGAUACCCGAGGGANACUUCGGUUAAUACGGUAUAAGACCACACUACCGNAUGGUANAGGGGUAAAAGGGGCAACCUGGNAUGAGAUGGACUCGCGUCNCAUUAGCUAGUUGGNGAGGUAACGGCCCACCAAGGCGACGAUGCGUANCCGACCUGANAGGGUGAUCGGCCACAUUGGGACUGAGAUACGGCCCAGACUCCUACGGGAGGNAGCAGUGGGGAAUAUUGGGCAAUGGAGGAAACUCUGACCCANCNAUGCCGNGUGAAUGAAGANGGNCUUCGGAUUGUAAAGUUCUUUANUCAGGNAAGAAGUCAAUGACNGUACCUGAAGAAUAANCUCCGGCUAACUACGUGCCAGNAGCCGCGGUAAUACGUANGGAGCAAGCGUUGUUCGGAAUGACUGGGCGUAAAGGGUGCGUANGCGGUUGUACAAGUUAGAAGUGAAAUACCCAGGGCUUAACUCGGGNGCUGCUUCUAAAACUGUAUGACUUGAGUGCAGUAGAGGNUAGUGGAAUUCCUAGUGUANCGGUGGAAUGCGUAGAUAUUAGGAGGAACACCAGAGGCGAAGGCGGCUAACUGGACUGCAACUGACGCUGAGGCACGAAAGUGUGGAAGCAAACAGGAUUAGAUACCCUGGUAGUCCACACUGUAAACGAUGGAUACUANAUGU
rnacentral:rRNA from 1 species